AUGGUUCUUAUAGCACCUCCUCGCCAGAUGUCAUCUGGGAGUGUUCCUGGUUCUUCUGGAGACAGCAUGAUGAUCUAUCUCCUUGCUGGUGUUGCUGCUUUUGGUGGUUUAUUUUAUGCCUACAGAGUAGUCAGUUCAUCCCGUAGCAAGUUUAUUGAGCAUACGAAUAUUCUUCGCGAGAGAGCCGAGGGGCGGAAAAGCAAUCCUUGGUCAAGGAAGGAAGGUGAUGAAGAAGAGAUGGAUGAAGUCACUGAAGCAGAGAAGGCCAUGGAAGAGGCUGAUGCAGCAGCUGCUGUUGAGCCUGCAGCACAGGAUGAGAGUGCUGGGGUAUCCCCAGAAGAUAGAGGGGAGAAUGACUUACUGAGUCCAGAGGUAUCCCAUCCUGUGGAGGAAGCACAGCAGGGGGCUGCUGCUAAUUUGGAACUUGCUGCUAAUUCAGAAGCUGCUGCAGUGCAAGUUUCUGAGGAGGAGAAGACAACUGAAGAAGUUGCUUAA
rnacentral:lncRNA from 13 species